rnacentral:rRNA from 1 species
AACGCGAAGAACCUUACCUAGGUUUGACAUCCUUUGACAAUGCCAGAGAUGGUACUUUCGUAGCAAUACGACAAAGAGACAGGUGCUGCAUGGCUGUCGUCAGCUCGUGUGGUGGCAUGUCGGGUUAAGUCCCUCAACGAGCGCAACCCCUGUGUUUAGUUGCCAGCAUUAAGUUGGGCACUCUAGACAGACUGCCGUGGUUAACACGGAGGAAGGCGGGGAUGACGUCAAGUCCUCAUGGCCCUUACACCUAGGGCGACACACGUAAUACAAUGGUUGAUACAGAGGGAAGCGAAAUGGUGACAUGGAGCAAAUCUCAAAAAGUCAAUCUCAGUUCGGAUUAGAGUCUGCAACUCGACUCUAUGAAGGCGGAAUCGCUAGUAAUCGCGGAUCAGCACGCCGCGGUGAAUACGUUCCCGGGCCUUGUACACACCGCGUGUCU